rnacentral:rRNA from 1 species
AGAGUUUGAUCCUGGCUCAGGACCAACGCUGGCGGCGUGCUUAAACAUGCGUGCGAGCGGUAGGGCCCUUCGGGGUACACAAACGGCGAACGGGUGAGUAACACGUGAGCAACCUACCCUCAACUUCGGGAUAAGCCUCGGAAACGGGGUCUAAUACCGGAUAUCCCUUCUGCCUUCAUGGGUGGGGGUUGAAAGUUCUGGCGGUUGGGGAUGGGCUCGCGGCCUAUCAGCUUGUUGGUGGGGUAAUGGCCUACCAAGGCGUCGACGGGUAGCCGGCCUGAGAGGGCGACCGGCCACACUGGGACUGAGACACGGCCCAGACUCCUACGGGAGGCAGCAGUGGGGAAUAUUGCGCAAUGGACGAAAGUCUGACGCAGCAACGCCGCGUGAGGGAUGACGGCCUUCGGGUUGUAAACCUCUUUCAGCAGGGACGAAGCGAGAGUGACGGUACCUGCAGAAGAAGGACCGGCCAACUACGUGCCAGCAGCCGCGGUAAUACGUAGGGUCCGAGCGUUGUCCGGAAUUAUUGGGCGUAAAGGGCUCGUAGGCGGUUCGUCACGUCGGGAGUGAAAACUCGGAGCUCAACUCCGAGCCUGCUUCCGAUACGGGCAGACUAGAGGUAGGCAGGGGAGAGCGGAACUCCUGGUGUAGCGGUGGAAUGCGCAGAUAUCAGGAAGAACACCGGUGGCGAAGGCGGCUCUCUGGGCCUUACCUGACGCUGAGGAGCGAAAGCGUGGGUAGCGAACAGGAUUAGWUACCMUGGUAGUCCACGCMGUAAACGUUGGGCGCUAGGUGUGGGGRACAUUCCACGUCCUCCGUGCCGCAGCUAACGCAUUAAGCGCCCCGCCUGGGGAGUACGGCCGCAAGGCUAAAACUCAAAGGAAUUGACGG